UGCAGUCGAGCGGCAGCGACUUAACUGAACCUUCGGGGAACGUUAAGGGCGGCGAGCGGCGGACGGGUGAGUAAUGCCUGGGAAUAUGCCCUGAUGUGGGGGAUAACUAUUGGAAACGAUAGCUAAUACCGCAUAAUCUCUUCGGAGCAAAGAGGGGGACCUUCAGGCCUCUCGCGUCAGGAUUAGCCCAGGUGGGAUUAGCUUGUUGGUGAGGUAAUGGCUCACCAAGGCAACGAUCCCUAGCUGGUCUGAGAGGAUGAUCAGCCACACUGGAACUGAGACACGGUCCAGACUCCUACGGGAGGCAGCAGUGGGGAAUAUUGCACAAUGGGGGAAACCCUGAUGCAGCCAUGCCGCGUGUGUGAAGAAGGCCUUCGGGUUGUAAAGCACUUUCAGUAGGGAGGAAGGUAGUGUAGUUAACACCUGCAUUAUUUGACGUUACCUACAGAAGAAGCACCGGCUAACUCCGUGCCAGCAGCCGCGGUAAUACGGAGGGUGCGAGCGUUAAUCGGAAUUACUGGGCGUAAAGCGCAUGCAGGCGGCCUGUUAAGUCAGAUGUGAAAGCCCGGGGCUUAACCUCGGAAUUGCAUUUGAAACUGGCAGGCUAGAGUC
rnacentral:rRNA from 1 species